rnacentral:rRNA from 1 species
UACGGGGGGGCAAGCGUUGUUCGGAAUUACUGGGCGUAAAGGGCUCGUAGGUGGCCAACUAAGUCAGACGUGAAAUCCCCAGGCUUAACCUGGGAACUGCAUCCGAUACUGGAUGGCUUGAAUCCGGGAGAGGGAUGCAGAAUUCCAGGUGUAGCGGUAAAAUGCGUAGAGAUCUGGAAGAACACCAAAGGCGAAGGCAGCGUCCUGGGAAGCAUCUGACGCUCAGGUGCGAAAGCUAGGGGAGCGAACGGG